AAAACUUUUUGGAACUUGUUACUAACACUGGAUCCGGACCAUAACAUCCUUAUCCUUCAGUCCCAUGAUGAUUCUUCAUUCUUACAAAGGAAGAAUAAUGAACAGAAGCAGAGUGGAGCAACAAUAAAAUUACAGUAGAAGAACAGUGAGUAGAAGUUGCAGAGUGGAAGAAUAAAAUUACAGUAGAAGAACAAUAAUAAGUAGAAGAAGCAGAGUGGAAGAGCAAUAAAAAAUAUCAGCAACCCUUAGCGCAAGCGGAAGACAUAAAAAUGAAGCUCAACGAUUGGCGAACGAAAUUAACAUCGACUAACAGGAAUAAUCUUUAAAUGAUUAAGGGGAUUGUAUUUAUUCAUGAGACACCUACGCGAAGAUCGACAAAGAUAAACGGAGUGAAGAUAGGGCAGAAUAGAAGAAAGAGAGAAAAAGAAAAAAGGCAAAUGGGAAAGAAAGAGGAAUGGAAGGAAGGAGCUUAGAGUCCAUGCACGAUAAUCGAAAUCUUGGUGUCCCGGGAUGGGCGUGGGUCACUAACCAGCAACCAGAAAGCGGUUUCAGACUGGUGUAGUGGCCUUGAUUCGUUCUUAAGACCCUUCGAAGGCAUGUGUCGCGACGUUCGUGCUUUAACUUUGCCGACACCCGAGUGUUUUCUCCUUCCUCUUAAUUGUUCACCUUCGCGUUGAUUAUACAUGAUCAUUAGUGUCGAUAACAUCUUGUCUAGUUAGAAGCAGAAUCUAAAUCAUUCUCCCGCGUAAAAAGAUUUAAACAUCUUGGUAUAUCCUGAAAGAAAGGGAAAGGAUUAAAACCAUUGUAUUAUUUAAAAAUUUUGUAAAAUUUAUUACAUAAUAUGUACUUGAAUAUAAUUGAAUA